UUUUGCCAAUGUUUACUGACACUGGCCAUAUUCAAUAGGUGUUGAGCUCUCAUCAAUUAAUUAUUCUGCACUCUGGUACAGUCAGAUGAGAGUGCUCUGAAAUCGGAGUACAUAGCCAGAGCUAAUUUACAAAAGCACCCGAAUGUCCAUUGAGAACGCACAACGACUAUGCCAUUUAGCUAAGCUAAGAAUGAUGGGAAUAAUCAAGUCCAUAAACGUUGGGUAGUUUGUUAAUAUACUGUCAAGUUUGAUGUAUAACUACUAACGUUUUGUAGAUAGCUAAAAUACAGGUACAUACUGCUGUAAUGAUAUGCUAUGUGGUUCGUAAGGACAGCGUAGCUAAUAAAUUGUCAGCCAACAUAACGUGUACAGUCGAUAGCGCGCUGGACUUUGGGCAAGACUUUUAUAUUUAGCUACGAAUGCCUAUUCUCACCAUUUUCAGUUGAAUUCAUCUAACUUUCUUUCAUGACAACUCAUAAACAGGCCAUGUCCUAUUUGUUUCAUAGUCGAUAUAUAAUCAUAUUUCAUGACACUGUAACGGUCAGUUUUUUUUCAGAAGGAUGAAAGAACACAAUAUGUCUGUCAGGGAAUGAUAUACUGUUAUGUCAGAUGAAGAGUUAGACCAGAAAGUCAGGGCCAUUAAGGCAAGGAUGCCCCAUCCGGGCUUUAGAAUGAUCAAAGGAAGUCUCCAAGCAAUUGGGCAACCGUGUAUAAUGGCGAAGAGUUAGGGAGUCUUUGCAGUGUGUAGAUGGUACAGGUAUCUUUGCAUAUUUCCCAUCACCUAAUGAACAACCACAAUACCAGUCUGGUGUUAAGCUUUCUGUGCUGUACUGACGUAUCCUGAAAAUGGCAUCUGCUGGUUUAGAUUUUAGGUUCAUAUCUCAGUUAUUGUUUUCAUAUCUACAAAAAAUAAGCUAUUUUCUAUACUUUCAGAAUGCGAGCUGAUCAAGGGGGUCGAUGCGAGCUGAUCAAGGGGGUAAAAAAUGUAGAUGUAUGUUCACUGUCCGAGGAACAAGACAUAGAAGCUUUAUUGCUGGCAAAGGUGUCCAUAACCAGAGAUUCUGCAGGUGGAGGACCUGCUUUAUCAGGAGGAUAAUCUGGAAUCUGGAAACACUGACAAUGGGGUCAUUGUUCCUGACAUCCCAUGCUUCCUGUCUACUGAGACUCUUGCUGUGCUGCAACGUCACGUGAACCCUACCACUGACACCUCAUCUUUUGGUGUGCAAGGAGAGGAGCUGGUGGAAGAUUGGGGAGUAGAGACGGGGACCUGUGAGGACGUCGGCUUUUCCUACCUCAGAGAAGGUUUAUGUGACUGGGCACCUUGUCGCUCUGUUAACCAAGGCAAGCUAUAUAGGUAGAGAGAAGAGUUCCUCCUGCAACUUAUGUGUAGACAAUAGUCUAAAGACAGGAGUAGCCGAUUGUUGUUUUGCUUUCCCUUUUUGGCCACGGCCUUUUGGUCAACGGCUUAGUUUAUGUUUAUUUGUUUUGUUAGGCUGGUGUUUUAGCGUUGGACAUUACCCUGUACUGGAGUUAUGUUGUCGGGUGAAAGAAGACCCAUUUAGUAAACAAUCGCAAGAAAAGGACCCACAACCACUUCCUCUGGUCUGUUCAUUUUAUGUUAGGGUGCUUUGGACAAGCUGAUCCGUUCACAGUAGAUUAUAUAUUAAAACCUUGGAUGGGAGACAGAAAGAGAAUGUAGAUACAUUCUCUAGUAGGAGGUGCUGCCCAGCCUAUAGUUACUUUUCUGAUAGUGGAUAUAACGAACUUCUGACGUUGUUUUAAAGGUAGA